GACGAACGCUGGCGGCGUGCUUAACACAUGCAAGUCGAACGGAAAGGCCCUGCUUUUGUGGGGUGCUCGAGUGGCGAACGGGUGAGUAACACGUGAGUAACCUGCCCUUGACUUUGGGAUAACUUCAGGAAACUGGGGCUAAUACCGGAUAGGAGCUCCUGCUGCAUGGUGGGGGUUGGAAAGUUUCGGCGGUUGGGGAUGGACUCGCGGCUUAUCAGCUUGUUGGUGGGUAGUGGCUUACCAAGGCUUUGACGGGUAGCCGGCCUGAGAGGGUGACCGGCCACAUUGGGACUGAGAUACGGCCCAGACUCCUACGGGAGGCAGCAGUGGGGAAUAUUGCACAAUGGGCGGAAGCCUGAUGCAGCAACGCCGCAUGCGGGAUGACGGCCUUCGGGUUGUAAACCGCUUUCGCCUGUGACGAAGCGUGAGUGACGGUAAUGGGUAAAGAAGCACCGGCUAACUACGUG
rnacentral:rRNA from 1 species